AUUGAACGCUGGCGGCAUGCCUUACACAUGCAAGUCGAACGGUAACAGGUCUUCGGACGCUGACGAGUGGCGAACGGGUGAGUAAUACAUCGGAACGUGCCCAGUCGUGGGGGAUAACUACUCGAAAGAGUAGCUAAUACCGCAUACGAUCUGAGGAUGAAAGCGGGGGACCUUCGGGCCUCGCGCGAUUGGAGCGGCCGAUGGCAGAUUAGGUAGUUGGUGGGAUAAAAGCUUACCAAGCCGACGAUCUGUAGCUGGUCUGAGAGGACGACCAGCCACACUGGGACUGAGACACGGCCCAGACUCCUACGGGAGGCAGCAGUGGGGAAUUUUGGACAAUGGGCGAAAGCCUGAUCCAGCAAUGCCGCGUGCAGGAUGAAGGCCUUCGGGUUGUAAACUGCUUUUGCACGGAACGAAAAAGCUUCUCCUAAUACGAGAGGCCCAUGACGGUACCGUAAGAAUAAGCACCGGCUAACUACGUGCCAGCAGCCGCGGUAAUACGUAGGGUGCGAGCGUUAAUCGGAAUUACUGGGCGUAAAGCGUGCGCAGGCGGUUAUGUAAGACAGAUGUGAAAUCCCCGG
rnacentral:rRNA from 1 species